UACGAAGGGGGCUAGCGUUGCUCGGAAUUACUGGGCGUAAAGCGCACGUAGGCGGCUUCUUAAGUCGGUGGUGAAAUCCUGGAGCUCAACUCCAGAACUGCCUUCGAUACUGGGAGCUCGAGUCCGGGAGAGGUGAGUGGAACUGCGAGUGUAGAGGUGAAAUUCGUAGAUAUUCGCAAGAACACCAGUGGCGAAGGCGGCUCACUGGCCCGGUACUGACGCUGAGGUGCGAAAGCGUGGGGAGCGAACGAGG
rnacentral:rRNA from 1 species